UAAAAAACGUUGAUGAGGAUUAAGUAAAAGAAUCAUUUCUUCAAAGAGAGAACUGCCUUGGCUGAAAGCAGUUUAAGAAGUGACUUUGAAAUGCCCCUCUGAGUCCUUUGCCAAAAAGCAAAAGUUGAGUUAAUGUCCUUUUGACCCUCUCUUGCUUAGUAAGUAAAGGCGGUUCUCCCCGUUAAAGAGUCAAGAGGAGUAGAAACUUACUCAAACAGAGUGGAACCGCGCUAAAAGCGUCUCUGUG
rnacentral:ncRNA from 1 species